GUUAUCUCUUAUUCUCGCUACUGCUUUUUCCUCUAUUACGAAAGAGAAAUCCAAAGUUCCUUUUUAAUCCUGCUUUCAUAUACUGCCAGUUGAAGUGAAUCCAUAUUAUUCACUUUAUAUGUGGCUUGCACCCAACUCGAGCCUCCUGGCAUGUUGCCGUUUUCCUCUAUUACGAAAGCCAUGUGUGUUGAGUUCCUUUUUACUUCGUCAUCCGUAAAAUGGCUCUUUCCGCGUAGCGGAGCACAGCAUUUUACGAAUGAGGAGUAAAGAGAGAAUAGAGAAUUGUUCUCCACUAUGAUCGAGCGUUCGCUACUGCUAGCAGUCAAAACAGAUGGCCCCAUGCGUUAUCUUCUAUUCUCGCUACUGCUUUUUCCUCUAUUACGAAAGAGAAAUCCAAAGUUCCUUUUUAAUCCAGCCUUCAUAUACUGCCAGUUGAAGUGAAUCCAUUCUGCUCCUCAGCACGGCCUUGUGAAGGUCGGGAGGGCGUUGCCCGGCCUUGAGUGAGUGAGCGAGCGAGCGAUGUCAGCUUGUGCGUACAUCAAGCUAUAUAUAAAAACACAUUUCUUAUCACUUAAUGCAACUUGGAGAGUGAUUGAGUGCACGUACUAGCUGGCGAGGAGGGCUAUCACAAUUGGACUGCAUACUCCACAGAGGUCACGGCUAACAUUAUUGAUUCAUUUUCUCACCUCACUACUCAUAAGAAGUUGUGCUCUCGUGAAGGAACCUUACCUGUAUCGAGAAAAUCAUAGCUGAGGAGCUAGCUGAGAGGAGCCUAUCCGAUUAUUUCAUUUCGUCAAAUCAACACAUCAUUUUCUCACCUCUCAACUCAUAAGCAGUAUCUACACCUGAGAGGAAUCAAUCAUACCA